GAUGACCAAAAAAAGUGGAGAAACAAUCCUCCCUUUAAUAUUAGGUAAAGAAUGGAGUGAAUAGGGUUAUAUAUCAUCAUAUCUGCAUACAUAAUAUCUUCUAUAAUUAUUUACCGAUGUAGGCUCCUGUUGUUAGAUGGUGAACUUAUGCUCUUUUAUGCCAAGUAGUUAAAUUUAUGUGCACCUUCUUAAGUGUUUACUUGUUUCUGCUUUUAUAGUAUGGCUUGGUGGACCGAGGCCCUGCUGUGGAAAAAGAUCCUGAUAUGUUCGACCAUGCCGCCUUUAUGACCUAUUAAUGUGUUUUGAGCAUGUGACAAUUGUUUUCUCAAAUUUACGUGGUCUAUCUUAGAUUAGUAGUAAUCCUUCUCUAUGUUUCUGUAAUUUCAGUUCCUUAUGUUUGCCUUUAGAAAUUUCCUUUGCAUAUCCUGUUUUCUGCACAUCCCUCUUGUGGCCUGUUGUAAUGGUCUAAUGAACAGCCAUAUCAUGAUAUGAUUGCAUCGUUGCAUGAUAGUGUACCAUAUGCUCAUGCAUUUGUUUUCUUACCGAUGUUGUCCUAAUGAGUUGGCUGGCUUACAUGUAGUCUGCUGUAAAGGUCUACUUGUUUCAGGUAGCAUUGCUUUCUGGAAUACAUUAUUGGAACUUGGUAACCUUCCCUGGUUAUAGUCAGCAAGACAAGAAGAACAUACUUGUGUAUGAGUUCAUGCACAACGAAAGGAGCACCUUAGCUGAUGUUAAAUUUUCUCUUUGGAAUCAACAACACACUGUUGUAUAUACACGUGUGAUUCUUUCGCAGUAAAACUUUGCCUGUGCAGUUGUAUUUUGCUGAUUCAGGUUGUCUUAGCCUGCAACACUACGUCUAGGUUACCGCGUAGCCCAUUUCCUUUUAAGUGGGUACUUCCGAAUGAAAACUUGGAAUUACCUAAUAGGUGCAUACAUGAACUAUUGAUGGUGUGAAUAGAAACAACGGCAUUGGCGCAGACGCUUGGUGACCUUCACGUUGUUCCUCCAAGGCAGGCCAUGAGUGAUGGCAGCCGUGAGGUCAGCGUUGCUAGGAAAUAGGGAAAGGCUGCUGCCAAUUAUGCAAGAUACACACAUAGUUUGUGUUUGCUGUUUACAUGUCAGUUUUUUACCAUUUGAACUGUCUUUUAUAGACUGUAUAGUUCACAAAAAAGAAACUUUCGAUAAAGCAUAUAUGGGUUUGCAGUAGACCAUUCUAGACCAUAUUUCUUGAAUACAUAGUUUAUAGUAUUUUCUGGUUUUAAAUAUAUGAGAUUGCCCAUCUUAGUUAGUGGCACUGCUAUGCUUCACAGUAUACAAUGCUUGCAUGCCAAUAUAAUCAUAAGUGUUUUUUCGUUUUCAGGUGUUCUUAAUAUGGUGGGUGAUUGAAGCGAAAGCAUGAGGAGCAGUUCAAAGGGCGGAUGGAGCAUGUGACUUGUGUGGAAAUAACAAAUUUUCUUUUAGAUGAUUUGAGUGUAUGCUGAUGCGUGAAAGUCAAUCAUUUGGAUUCCCAACUAGCCUAUUGUGUGUGUUCAAUAUUUUGUUGCGCAUUGACAAAAUGUUUUCAGUGCCCGAGUGCGCAAGUUGAAUUUUGAAACAUAUGAGAGGAUAACCCUGCAAAAGGGAAUUUGCCCUUUAUGAAGGUUCGGGCUUGCUGUUGUAAUUAAAAGUAGGAGAUUUAUAUAUACCUAUAAUAGAAUAAUUCCUCAAGCUAAAGGCUUCUGUAACAUGUAACAUAUGAACUUUGUUUGUGCUAAUAAUUUUCCAGCCAUAGUAAAAGGCUAUGUUGCACAGGUA
rnacentral:lncRNA from 1 species